GAACGCUGGCGGCGUGCUUAACACAUGCAAGUCGAACGAUGAAGCCCUUCGGGGUGGAUUAGUGGCGAACGGGUGAGUAACACGUGGGCAAUCUGCCCUGCACUCUGGGACAAGCCCUGGAAACGGGGUCUAAUACCGGAUACGAGCCUCCUGGGCAUCUGGGAGGUUGGAAAGCUCCGGCGGUGCAGGAUGAGCCCGCGGCCUAUCAGCUUGUUGGUGAGGUAACGGCUCACCAAGGCGACGACGGGUAGCCGGCCUGAGAGGGCGACCGGCCACACUGGGACUGAGACACGGCCCAGACUCCUACGGGAGGCAGCAGUGGGGAAUAUUGCACAAUGGGCGCAAGCCUGAUGCAGCGACGCCGCGUGAGGGAUGACGGCCUUCGGGUUGUAAACCUCUUUCAGCAGGGAAGAAGCGAGAGUGACGGUACCUGCAGAAGAAGCGCCGGCUAACUACGUGCCAGCAGCCGCGGUAAUACGUAGGGCGCAAGCGUUGUCCGGAAUUAUUGGGCGUAAAGAGCUCGUAGGCGG
rnacentral:rRNA from 1 species